rnacentral:tRNA from 1 species
UCUAUGUAGGUUAACUUCCUACAAAUAGUACUUGUAUUUAAAUGAUGUUAUUUUAAGAUUUUUAGGAGGUA